UACAGAGGUCCCAAGCGUUGUUCGGAUUCACUGGGCGUAAAGGGUGCGUAGGCGGUCGGGUAAGUCUGAUGUGAAAUCUCACAGCUUAACUGUGAAACUGCAUUGGAUACUAUUCGGCUUGAGAGUUGGAGGGGGGACUGGAAUUCUUGGUGUAGCAGUGAAAUGCGUAGAUAUCAAGAGGAACACCAGUGGCGAAGGCGAGUCCCUGGACAACACCUGACACUGAGGCACGAAAGCUAGGGGAGCAAACAGG
rnacentral:rRNA from 1 species